AUUGAACGCUGGCGGCAGGCUUAACACAUGCAAGUCGAGCGAGCGGCGGACGGGUGAGUCAUGUCUGGGACACUGCCUGAUGGAGGGGGAUAACUACGGGAAACGGUAGCUAAUACCGCAUACCAUCAGAUGUGCCCAGAUGGGAUGAGCUAGUAGGUGGGGGAAUGGCUCACCGAGGCGAAGAUCCCUAGCUGGGCUGCGAGGAUGACCAGCCACAUUGUAACGUAGACACGGUCCAGACUCCUACGGGAGGCGUCAGUGGGGAAUAUUGCACAAUGGGCGCAAGCCUGAGGCAGACCUGCCGCGUGUAUGAAGAAGGCAUUCGGGUUGUAAAGUACUUUCAGUCGUGAGGCGUUACCGACAGAAGAAGCACCGGCUAACUCCGUGCCAGCCGCCGCGGUAAUUC
rnacentral:rRNA from 1 species